CUUCCUUCUCAGAACAACAGCUUCCUCUGCUCUCUUGUCCUCUGCUAGGGCACGUAAUCAACUCCCAUUUCCAAGCUAGCCUAAGCCAUUCGGUACUCUAGCUCACUUCCUUGGUUCUGGAGCUGCCAUUUUCGGGGAUUGCGGAUCUGUUGUUUUUGGUGCUCAAUCGAAGAUGGGAGGAAUGUUCGAGAUGGAUCUGGGGACAGCAGCGGUGCGGUUUAGAUUUUAUUACUUGAAGACCUUAGGAUCAGUUUCAUGGCCAUGAGGCCUUUUGUAAUGGCUGCCCAGUGGCGACUCCUUUUGCAAAACUGUUGGAUUAUGUUAGUUUUCUUUUAUUUGUGGCAUGGUUGUAUGCCCAGGUUUUCCUCUAACUACUCCUAUGGAUGACUGUACUAGUUGCUUUU